rnacentral:rRNA from 1 species
UACGUAGGGUGCAAGCGUUGUCCGGAAUUAUUGGGCGUAAAGAGCUCGUAGGCGGUUUGUUGCGUCGGCUGUGAAAUCCCGAGGCUCAACCUCGGGUCUGCAGUCGAUACGAGCAAACUAGAGUGUUGCAGGGGAGACUGGAAUUCCUGGUGUAGCGGUGAAAUGCGCAGAUAUCAGGAGGAACACCUAUAGCGAAGGCAGCUUGCUGGGACGAUACUGACGCUGAGGAGCGAAAGCGUGGGGAGCGAACAGG